UACGAAGGGGGCUAGCGUUGCUCGGAAUCACUGGGCGUAAAGCGCACGUAGGCGGCUUCUUAAGUCAGGGGUGAAAUCCUGGAGCUCAACUCCAGAACUGCCUUUGAUACUGAGGAGCUUGAGUCCGGGAGAGGUGAGUGGAACUGCGAGUGUAGAGGUGAAAUUCGUAGAUAUUCGGAAGAACACCAGUGGCGAAGGCGACUCACUGGACGACUGUUGACGCUGAGGUGCGAAAGCGUGGGGAGCAAACAGG
rnacentral:rRNA from 1 species